rnacentral:rRNA from 1 species
GAGCCAGCCGCCGAAGGUGGGACAGAUGAUUGGGGUGAAGUCGUAACAAGGUAGCCGUAUCGGAAGGUGCGGCUGGAUCACCUCCUUUCUA